UCCAUCAAAAGAGGAAUGAACAGUUAAAUUAUAACAUCUAUAAUAUGCAUUAGUUGUGGACACAUACUAACGCAUAAUAUGGUUAUGUUAUAAUUUAACUCUUCCUUU
rnacentral:miRNA from 1 species